AACCAGAGCUGGUAGACAGAGAAAUCCUGUCUCAACAAAAAAACAAAACAAAACAACAACAACAAAAAACAAGAAAAAAAGUACAGAAAAGUUUUAGGCAUCCUUUUCUCAGUUUACCCCAAUAACAUCUUACACGACUGUCUUUGUAUUAUACUUUUAUAAUUAUGCAAUUUCCCCGUCCUUGGAAUUGUUUCCAAUUCUUUGUCCUGAAUUGUUCUCUGGACUGCUGCAUGCUUCUAAUCCUAAUUCUCCCUGUGUAUUCUCAAGGGUGAUAUUUGAAAUAGUCAGAGACAUCGACAAAUCAAUUGUGCUUUGGGAACAUCUAAUCAUAAGAAACUAUCUCCAAGACCUGAAGCAGAGCUCUGGACACUCGUGCCUGUGGGAAAUGACACUUUCAAAAAUAUAAAAAAGGCAAUUGACAGAAAUUCAAAUUUCUCCAGGAUUAGCGCUUCUUGACAUCAAAACAGGUGCUCAGGCGGCACUCUCUGCACAAAAAUUACGAUCUUCCCAUCAACUGGUGGUUUUAAACUAACCAAUCGCUUGAGAAUAUGUGGCCCAGGACCGUUUACAUCAGGAAUUUAACCUGGUGGGACCUGGGCUGGGUGUGUCAGCCUUUUUGAUCUGGCCUGACCACACACCCCUUCUACAGAAGUAAAACUUCUUGUCUUGCUGGGACACUUUGGAUUGCUUGGUCAUUUUCUUAAGACACCAGGUUUGUUUCUGACUAAUUUCUGAACCAUAGAAAUAUCUGGGGAAAGGAAGGUGGGGAAGUGGUUGCUGGCCAAUGGCAGGAGUCCUUCAACAUUGGCACCAUCUUGUGGCCCUGUGCAGGAGUGGUAUGUCAGCAAUGCUCCAAUCUCCCUGUCAUGCGCCCUACACUCACCUCAUUGCUUUGUAGUCAUUGGAGUUUUCCUUUUUUGAAUUUGUUAUCAGGUCUUUGAAAGCAAAUGUGGAUGUUUAAUUCGCAGAUUUGCAGAGCCCGCUAUUGUCUGUGUGAUAAAUAGUCCAGCAGGGUGACACAGGCCUGCUAGCCUAGCACUCGGGAGGUUGAGGCCAGAGAAUCAAGUGUUUGAGGCCAAACCAGGCUAUACAAGGGGAUCCUGCUUACAAAAAUAAGUCAUGAGUGAUUAGUACUCAAAUAGAAAUUAAAUUCUAGUUGUAGGUCUCUCCUGAGCUUGGUUGUGUAAGCCUAGACUGGCAAGCACUCUGGUCUCAGGAUCCUCUUCUGUAAAACAAGAUCAUUUGGUUCCUUCUAGCUCUAAACCUUUGUAAAAAGUUUGCAAAGGUGGCAAGAUAUGCACUAAUAAGGAAAUCUGAUGUUUAAAAAUAAGAAAACCGUAUUUUGACAAAUACAUGAGUGAUUAUUACUCCAUAUUAAUUUUAAAAGUCUGCUGGGGAAAGGAAGAACGACUUGCUAAUCUUGCUCGUGAAGAGCUCAGUCUAUGAGGAUCACCUCUGCAGAACCAGAGGCAGUGACAGAAGUGUCAAGAUCGGCACACAGCAGGGGCAAAGGGGGACUGGCAGGAUGUCUCCUUGUGAAAAGGAGCUUACCACCAGGCCUGAUGGCCUGAGUUAAAUUCCUGGGAUCCGCAUGGUACAAAGAGAGAACUAACUCCCCCAAAUUAGCCUCUGACCUCCACACGUACGCCAUGACGUGUACCUAGUGCAUAUACUGGCCUGCACGCACACAAAGAACAUAUACAUACUCACAAUACAUUCACACACAUAUUUUAAAUGUAAUAAAAAAAAUUUUCUAAAAGGCAGAGAAAAGAACAGUAAAUUCCAAAGUUCCAGAGAUAUAGAUCUCUGUAACAGUUCUUACCAAUAUCUUUCCUAAACACUAUUAAAAGUUAACAUAUAAUAUCAGGUGAAAACGACAUGAAAGCCAUUUGUUAUUCCUAGAAUAAAUUUUUAAAGCACUCAUUGAAUUUAUUUUAUGUGUCUGCGUGCUUUGCCUGCCCGAGUGUACGUGCACCGCAAAUGUGCCAGCUGCCUAUGAAGGUCAGAAGAGAGAGAUAAUUCCCCUGAAACUGGAGCUGCGGAGAGUUGCAAGCCACAAUGCUGGGUGCUAGGAACCAAGUCUCGAUCUUCUGGGAGAGCGACAAGUGUUCUCUUUUGUUUGUUUUGUUUUUUUUGGAGACACAGUUUCUCUGUGUUAGCCGCCCUGACUGUCCUGGAACGCUCUCUGUAGACCAGGCUGGCCUUGAACUCACAGAGUUCGUCUGCCUUUGACCAUUAAAGGCCUGUGCUACCACCAGUGCAACAAGUGCUUGUAACAGCUAAGCCCUCCCUCUGGCCCCUUAUUUUAAAGUGUGACUAAUGUGGUAGCUGUCAUCCUUGCAGCUUCUGUGAUUAGCAGGUUGGCAGUAUUCAUGUGCAUUAAGAUAAAGAACCUAAGUAUAUUGCCUCAACGAACGAUCACCGCAGUUCCACAGAGUCUACCUGUUGGAUGGGGAAGUUCAGGCUGUGAUCUGUCAAGUGAGUUUCCCGAAACCACACAGCAAGUGAUCAUACUCAACGUGGACUCAGGUUUCUCUGCCAACUCAGUAAGCCAGGUCAAGCCGAACUGAAAAAGCAGAAGUUUAUUUGAGUAAAGCAACUCCCGGGUGGGUUUUCCAGUCCCAGAGAUCCAGGCCAGAUAAGUCACUGCCUGAACUAAAGCAGGGAGAUUAAAUAGCAGGUGCUGGGAACUCAACUGGGGACCCCUCUAAGAGUGGUAAGUGCAGCUGGGUAUGACAGCCCACACCUUUACUUCCAGUUCCUCAGAGACAGGCAGAUUUCUGAGUUCAAGGCCAUCCUGGUCUACAAUGCAGGAGAGCCAGGGAUACUUAGACAAACCCUGUCUUGAGAAACAAACAAAAGAGUGUUCUCAACUGGUGAGCACCAUCUCUCUGUCCCCUCCUAGAUCAUCUUUAAGGCUGUCCACAGCCCUUAUAAAAUGACCAUUGAGUAGUUAGAGUUCCUUAUAUUUUGAUAUUUUACAGAAAUCUAUUUUGGCUGGUGAAAUAUCUCAGGGGGUAAAAGUGCUUGCUGUCAAAUCUGCCGGCCUGAGUUCAAGCCCAGGGAAUCACACGUGAGAGAAGGAAGCCCUGCCAGCUAAAGCACACUGGUCUCUCACAUGCACAUGGGCAGUACACCCUGCAUGCCGCCCUCCCAAACAAAAUCAGCAAAUAAAUGUGAUUUUUUUAGACCCAUUUAAGCCUGGUAUACUGGUGUGAGAGCCAAAGUUACAUUUUAAGUUUUAAUUACUGUGGUUAAGAGAGCCAUGAAACAAAAAUGCCUUUGAUCUGCAAGCCCCUUGCCCAAGGACAGACAGUUCCUGAAAGGCUGGGGACUAUUGUUUAUGGUAGAUAAUAAGUCACAUGUUUUCACUCCCCUAAACAAGUCAGCUUGACCCAUCUGCAUGGGAUGUGGCUGAGCUCAUGUGGGUCAGAGGUUCACGGGCAGGAAAUAUGUCAGGAUGUAUUCUUAUGCCUGACUGGACCUGAUGGGAAAUACUUUAAGCCCUUGCAAACUGUGGCUCAGGGCCAUUUUCUGGAAACCCAGAGAUGGACCUGGCCAGAGAGUCCAUCCACCUGGCCAGGAUUUCAAAUUUGGCUUUAAACUGUGGUAGAGGUUUUAUUUUCGACAGCUGGGAUUAAACAGAGGCAGGCAGCCUGGUCUACAGGGUAGCCAGUGUUACACAGAGAAACCUUGUCUCAAAAAAUUAACCUACCAACCAGCCAGUCAGUCAGCCAACCAACCAACCAACCAACCAAACAAAAAACCCAAACCCCCUAACAAACAAACAGACCCAUUUAAACAACAAAGAAGUGUCACUGGCUUAUUUAUUUCGAAUUACGGUGGAAUCUGGCUUAAAGUGUGCUUCUGUCCAAUGACUCAAAUGAUUUCAGGUAAGAACUUGUUUCUCUCCACGUCUUUUUCUUUGCCUUCAGCUAUACUGGUUUCAGCUUACUGUUAAUUUGUCUCUGGUGAUGGAGAGCAAAUCCAGGGUGCUAAGCAUGCUGGGUAAGCUCUCUCCAUCUGAGACCUUUGGUGCUGGUUUUAUUGCUUAUACAGAGUGUUCCUGCCAACUCCAGAUGCCACUCUAAGUAAAAAAGAAGUGGCUGUUUUCCAGUUCAGACCUCUUAUCUUUAUGAGCACUGUUCAACGGAAGAGGGUGCCUUGUGGUACUCCCACUGUUGGGAAGGAAACUUCCUCUGCUCAGACAUCCCCAAAUCUCUUCAAACCUGGAUGGAUGUCUUGGACAUGAUCACAGGCCCAUUUUGGGAAAACCAUUGUUCAUGCAGACCGGACUAUCCUAGAAUUACAGCUGAACCUGCCCCAUCCAAAUCAAAUGGCCAAACUGAAAGAGAGGUGCUUCCCCCAAGGCAAAACUUGCAGCUAUUGGUAAAGUAAUGUCCACUACAUGGGCCGGAGAGAUGGCUCGGCAGUGGGAGCCCUUGUUCUUGCAGAGGACUUAGGUUCAAUGACAAGCACAUGGUGGUUCACAAGGGUCCCUAGCCACAGUUCUGGGACAUCUAACACUCCCUGCUGACCUGCAUUGGUACUAAGCAUACAGGUGGUACAGCGACACACGUGCAAGCAAAACACUCAUACACAUGCAAAAACACCCGCCCCCAUCUAGAGUUCCCAUCCGCCAUCCAAAAUAAACCUUUUCAUUUUUCCUUCUUAUCAGCAGCAGCGGAUGGUCUGCUCUCGUUUCCCAUAGCUGCUCAUGUGACGACAGGAAGAUGAGACAUGGACAGUCACUAAUCCUAAGGUUUAAGUUCAACUACUCCACAGUGAAAGGAUCCUUCAGUGCCUCUCAGAAACAUCUACAAUUGCAGAUCCAUGCUUACAAAUGCUAAGUCACCAUGUGCCAUGAAACUCUGUUGUAAAAACUUCACUACCUAGAAAAGAAGAGAAGUCAAUUUCAGAAUGUAAAAACAAGUUUAAAGAUUGAUCUUAAUUAUGUAGAUGUGUUGUGGUAAUUCGAAUAGGAAUGGCCCCCUUAGGUUCAUACGUUUGAAUGCUUAGUUGUCAGGGAGUGGUACUACUUGGGAGGAAUUAGGAAGUGUGACCUCUUGGAAGAUAUAUGGACUAAGGGUGGCCUUGCAGAUUUCAAAAGCCCAAGCCAGUCCCAGUGGCUGACUCUACCUACUGCCUGCCGGUCCCAAUGUAGGACUCUCAGCUACUUUUUCGGUACCAUGUCUGCCUGAGUGCCACUAAGCUCCCUGCUGUUGUGGAAGGCGCUUGUUCAUUCCCGGCUGCCCAGAACCGAAAUAAUCAUGUAGAAAUCUGUAUCAAUUGCAAUACUGUUUGACCAAUAGCUUAUGCAUAUUU